AAGGGGAAAAGUCCUGGCGGCGCCGGUAACCACAACCCCUGCUCCAGUGGCGGCGUGUUUGGGCGGCAAAGGAGGGGCUCACCGUGUUGGAGGAAGGUUCUGGAAGGAGGUUGAAGGUGAAUCCCUAUGUUUUGGAAUCCUGGGCUUAACUAUAUUUGAUUUGGGCCCAAUCUCUAAUGCAGCACAGAAUUUUGUUAAUUUGAAACACAGCAUUAACUCCAUUUCCAUCACGCACACUUCGUGAAACACAAACGCAAUGAAACACGUGUGCAAAAAAGCUAAGAGCUCAGUUGCGGACUUCCGAUGGCGGCUAUACCACCACCGCUCAUGGCGGCAUCGUUUCCCUGGGAUCGUGCUGUACCAGCGACAAGCCUCGAGUUCUCCAGCGGUGGCCAUAUUGAUGGCGGCACACGCGGUUGUUGGCUCGUUUCGCAGUGGGUGGCGCGCGAGGAAGGAGCAAGGAAGAAGCGCGAGGUGGUGACAGAAGGGGAAAAAGUCCUGGCGGCGCCGGUAACCACAACCCCUGCUCCAGUGGCGGCGUGUUUGGGCGGCAAAGGAGGGGCUUACCGUGCUGGAGGAAGGUUCUGGAAAGAGGUUGAAGGUGAAUCCUUAUGUUUUGGAAUCCUGGGCUUAACUAUAUUUGAUUUCGGCCCAAUCUCUAAUGCAGCACAGAAUUUUGUUAAUUUGAACACAGCAUUAACUCCAUUUCCAUCACGCACACUUCGUGAAACACAAACGCAAUGAAACACGUGUGCAAAAGAGCUAAGAGCUCAGUUAGUCAGCACACACUUUCCGUUUUCUGUUGUUAACUUCGAGUUCCGUUGUGCCGUGCUGUAUAUAUACUCAUACUUGUAAUAAUCCAAGGUCCCCACAGUUCCCCAACCUCUCCGCGCAUCUUCUCAUUCAAAUCACCACUUUUGUGAUACUUUCCUAUUCAAAUGCUACCGCCACAGCCUCCUCCUCCUCUUCCUCCCCUCCGCCUCCUCCUCCUCCUCCUCCCCCUCCGCCUCCUCCGUUUGAAUGUGCUUUGUGUGGGAAAUCUUUUCCCCAAAAAAGAAGUUUAGAGGACCAUUGGAGAACCAAGAAGCUUUCAAAGUACAGACACAUCUGCGCGUACUGCAUUAACAGGUUUGAAACGAAAGCCUCCUUAAAACAACACCUCUGUGAGUGCGUUCAUUUCCUCCUCCACCACCAGAAUCAGUGACGCUUUGCGUCACUCCUAAAUUAUUUUUUGUUCAAUGACCUGGCUAUUGGCAUCUAUGGAUACAAUCUUCAAAAACAAGAUUGUGCACUGCAAAUUCUUCUAUGAGAUGUGGGAUACUAUUCUUGAAUUCUUUAUAACAUCAUCAAGGGCAAGAAUUCAGAAGAAAAUUGAGAAUCAAGGAAAGCAUCUUUGUUCAGUGGUAUAUGACUCGCCUCCACCAGAAACUCGAACAAGGCAGGACUUCAUGCAAGCAUGUUCAAUGAUGCAACAAGUGAGUUUGAUGUUCUAGUGGCCAGUGAUGCCAUUGGAAUGGGUCUUAAUUUAAAAUAUCUAGGAUCAUAUUUUCAACGUUGAAGAAGUUUGAUGGUUUUGAAUUUUGGGACUUGACACUACCUGAAAUAAAACAGAUUGCAGGGUUUUUGCAUGCAUAUUAUUGAAGGGAGAGCUGGUAGAUAUGGGUCAAAUUUUCCUGUUGGAGAAGUAACAUGCAUAGAUGCAGAGGAUCUACCCUUGCAAACGAUGAUGGGUCAAAUUUUAUAAUAUUGGUAGAUAUGGGUCAAAUUUUCCUAUAGUAUUUUUAAAAACGAUGAUGAUAAUUAGUAGUUACGACUUAGACUAGUAUUAUGGUAUUUUGCAAUGAUGAUAUAAUGUGAUUGUGGAUCUUACAUAAUACUUUAUAAAUCAAAUUUGAUGGUAAA